rnacentral:rRNA from 1 species
AUUGAACGCUGGCGGCAGGCUUAACACAUGCAAGUCGAGCGGGGUGAUGGUGCUUGCACUAUCACUUAGCGGCGGACGGGUGAGUAAUGCUUAGGAAUCCGCCUAUUAGUGGGGGACAACAUCUCGAAAGGGAUGCUAAUACCGCAUACGUCCUACGGGAGAAAGCAGGGGAUCACUUGUGACCUUGCGCUAAUAGAUGAGCCUAAGUCGGAUUAGCUAGUUGGUGGGGUAAAGGCCAACAAAGGCGACGUUCUGUAGCGGGUCUGAGAGGAUGAUCCGCCACACUGGGACUGAGACACGGCCCAGACUCCUACGGGAGGCAGCAGUGGGGAAUAUUGGACAAUGGGGGGAACCCUGAUCCAGCCAUGCCGCGUGUGUGAAGAAGGCCUUAUGGUUGUAAAGCACUUUAAGCGAGGAGGAGGCUCUUUUGGUUAAUACCCAAGAUGAGUGGACGUUACUCGCAGAAUAAGCACCGGCUAACUCUGUGCCAGCAGCCGCGGUAA